GAUGAACGCUGGCGGCGUGCCUAAUACAUGCAAGUCGGGCGGACAGACGAGGAGCUUGCUCCUCUGACGUUAGCGGCGGACGGGUGAGUAACACGUGGAUAACCUACCUAUAAGACUGGGAUAACUUCGGGAAACCGGAGCUAAUACCGGAUAAUAUAUUGAACCGCAUGGUUCAAUAGUGAAAGACGGUUUUGCUGUCACUUAUAGAUGGAUCCGCGCCGCAUUAGCUAGUUGGUAAGGUAACGGCUUACCAAGGCGACGAUGCGUAGCCGACCUGAGAGGGUGAUCGGCCACACUGGAACUGAGACACGGUCCAGACUCCUACGGGAGGCAGCAGUAGGGAAUCUUCCGCAAUGGGCGAAAGCCUGACGGAGCAACGCCGCGUGAGUGAUGAAGGUCUUCGGAUCGUAAAACUCUGUUAUUAGGGAAGAACAAAUGUGUAAGUAACUAUGCACGUCUUGACGGUACCUAAUCAGAAAGCCACGGCUAACUACGUG
rnacentral:rRNA from 1 species